rnacentral:tRNA from 1 species
AGGGGUAUAGCUCAAUGGUAGAGUGCCUACCAAGCAUGCAUGAGGCCCUGGGUUCAAUUCCCAGUACUGCCA